UACGGAGGGCGCAAGCGUUGUUCGGAAUCACUGGGCGUAAAGCGCGUGUAGGCGGCCGGGCAAGUCGGGUGUGAAAUCCCGAGGCUCAACCUCGGAACUGCAUUCGAAACUGCUCGGCUCGAGUCCCGGAGAGGAUGGCGGAAUUCCCGGUGUAGGGGUGAAAUCCGUAGAUAUCGGGAGGAACACCAGCGGCGAAGGCGGCCAUCUGGACGGUGACUGACGCUGAGACGCGAAAGCGUGGGGAGCAAACAGG
rnacentral:rRNA from 1 species